GACGAACGCUGGCGGCGUGCUUAACACAUGCAAGUCGAACGCUGAAGCUUGGUGCUUGCACUGGGUGGAUGAGUGGCGAACGGGUGGGUAAUACGUGAGUAACCUGCCCUUGACUCUGGGAUAAGCCUGGGAAACUGGGCCUAAUACUGGAUACGACAUGUCACCGCAUGGUGGUGUGUGGAAAGGGUUUUACUGGUUUUGGAUGGGCUCACGGCCUAUCAGCUUGUUGGUGGGGUAAUGGCUCACCAAGGCGACGACGGGUAGCCGGCCUGAGAGGGUGACCGGCCACACUGGGACUGAGACACGGCCCAGACUCCUACGGGAGGCAGCAGUGGGGAAUAUUGCACAAUGGGCGGAAGCCUGAUGCAGCGACGCCGCGUGAGGGAUGACGGCCUUCGGGUUGUAAACCUCUUUCAGCACGGAAGAAGCGAAAGUGACGGUACGUGCAGAAGAAGCGCCGGCUAACUACGUG
rnacentral:rRNA from 1 species